rnacentral:rRNA from 1 species
AAGACCUUGCGCUUUUGGAGCGGCCGAUGCCUGAUUAGCUUGUUGGUAAGGUAAAAGCUUACCAAGGCUUCGAUCAGUAGCUGGUCUGAGAGGACGGCCAGCCACACUGGGACUGAGACACGGCCCAGWCUCCUACGGGAGGCAGCAGUGGGGAAUUUUGGACAAUGGGGGCAACCCUGAUCCAGCCAUGCCGCGUGAGUGAAGAAGGCCUUCGGGUUGUAAAGCUCUUUCAGCCGGAACGAAACGGUUACGGUUAAUACCCGUGAUUACUGACGGUACCGGAAGAAGAAGCACCGGCUAACUACGUGCCAGCAGCCGCGGUAAUACGUAGGGUGCGAGCGUUAAUCGGAAUUACUGGGCGUAAAGCGUGCGCAGGUGGUUUUGUAAGUCAGAUGUGAAAGCCCCGGGCUCAACCUGGGAACU